rnacentral:misc_RNA from 1 species
GAUGAAGAACGUAGCGAAAUGCGAUAAGUAAUGUGAAUUGCAGAAUUCAGUGAAUCAUCGAAUCUUUGAACGCACAUUGCGCCCUCUGGUAUUCCGGAGGGCAUGCCUGUUCGAGCGUCAUUUCAACCCUCAAGCAUUGCUUGGUGUUGGGGCACCGCCUGUAAAGGGGCGGGCCCUGAAAUCUAGUGGCGAGCUCGCCAGGACCCCGAGCGUAGUAAUUAUAUUUCGUUCUGGAAGGCCCUGGCGGUGCCCUGCCGUUAAACCCCCAACUUCUGAAAAUUUGACCUCGGAUCAGGUAGGAAUACCCGCUGAACUUAAGCAUAUCAAUAAGCGGAGGA